rnacentral:snRNA from 1 species
GUGCUCGCUUCAGCAGCACAUAUACGAGAAUUGGAACGAUACAGAGAAUAUUAGCAUGGCCCCUGCGCAAGGAUGACACACAAAUUCAUGCAGCAUUCCAUAUUUUU